rnacentral:rRNA from 1 species
GGGGAAUUUUGGACAAUGGGCGCAAGCCUGAUCCAGCCAUGCCGCGUGAGUGAAGAAGGCCUUCGGGUUGUAAAGCUCUUUCGGCCGGAACGAAAUCGCGCCCCCUAAUACGGGGUGUGGAUGACGGUACCGGAAGAAGAAGCACCGGCUAACUACGUGCCAGCAGCCGCGGUAAUACGUAGGGUGCGAGCGUUAAUCGGAAUUACUGGGCGUAAAGCGUGCGCAGGCGGCUCGCCAAGUCAGAUGUGAAAGCCCCGGGCUUAACCUGGGAAUUGCGUUUGAAACUGGCGGGCUGGAGUGUGGCAGAGGGAGGUGGAAUUCCACGUGUAGCAGUGAAAUGCGUAGAGAUGUGGAGGAACACCGAUGGCGAAGGCAGCCUCCUGGGCCAACACUGACGCUCAUGCACGAAAGCGUGGGGAGCAAAC